rnacentral:rRNA from 1 species
CCUACGGGUGGCAGCAGUAGGGCAUUUUCGUCAAUGGGCGCAAGCCUGAACGAGCAAUGCCGCGUGAACGAGGAAGGUCUUCGGAUCGUAAAGUUCUGUUGAAGGGGAAAAAGAGCGGAGAGAGGAAAUGCUUUCUGAUUGAUAUUACCUUUCGAGGAAGUCGCGGCUAACUACGUGCCAGCAGCCGCGGUAAUACGUAGGUGGCCAGCGUUAUCCGGAAUGAUUGGGCGUAAAGGGUGCUUAGGCGGCCUGCUAAGUCUGGAGUGAAAGGUUCCGGCUCAAACGGUACAGGCUCUGGAACCUGGCGGGCUAGGGAGCAGGAGAGGGCGGUGGAACUCCAUGGGUAGCGGUAGAAUGC